rnacentral:rRNA from 1 species
UGCAGUGGGUACGGGCAAGCUAGAGUGCGGUAGGGGAGAUUGGAAUUCCUGGUGUAGCGGUGGAAUGCGCAGAUAUCAGGAGGAACACCGAUGGCGAAGGCAGAUCUCUGGGCCGUAACUGACGCUGAGGAGCGAAAGCAUGGGGAGCGAACAGGAUUAGAUACCCUGGUAGUCCAUGCCGUAAACGUUGGGAACUAGAUGUAGGGCCUGUUCCACGGGUUCUGUGUCGUAGCUAACGCAUUAAGUUCCCCGCCUGGGGAGUACGGCCGCAAGGCUAAAACUCAAAGGAAUUGACGGGGGCCCGCACAAGCGGCGGAGCAUGCGGAUUAAUUCGAUGCAACGCGAAGAACCUUACCAAGGCUUGACAUAUAGAAGAACGGGUCAGAAAUGAUUCACUCUUUGGACACUUCUAUACAGGUGGUGCAUGGUUGUCGUCAGCUCGUGUCGUGAGAUGUUCGGUUAAGUCCGGCAACGAGCGCAACCCUCGUCCUAUGUUGCCAGCACGUUAUGGUGGGAACUCAUGGGAUACUGCCGUGGUCAACACGGAGGAAGGUGGGGAUGACGUCAAAUCAUCAUGCCCCUUAUGUCUUGGGCUUCACGCAUGCUACAAUGGCCGGUACAAUGGGCUGCGAUACCGCGAGGUGGAGCGAAUCCCAAAAAGCCGGUCUCAGUUCGGAUUGGGGUCUGCAACUCGACCCCAUGAAGUCGGAGUCGCUAGUAAUCGCAGAUCAGCAACGCUGCGGUGAAUACGUUCCCGGGCCUUGUACACACCGCCCGUCAAGUCAUGAAAGUCGGUAACACCCGAAGCCGGUGGCCUAACCCUUGUGG